rnacentral:rRNA from 1 species
UACGUAGGGAGCAAGCGUUGUCCGGAAUCAUUGGGCGUAAAGCGCGCGUAGGUGGCUUCGUAAGUCCGCUGUGAAAGUCAAAGGCUCAACCUUUGAAAGCCGAUGGAUACUGCGGAGCUAGAGUACGGAAGAGGCGAGUGGAAUUCCUGGUGUAGCGGUGGAAUGGCGCAGAUAUCAGGAGGAACACCAAUAGCGAAGGCAGCUCGCUGGGACGUUACUGACACUGAGGCGCGAAAGCGUGGGGAGCGAACAGG